ACAUCCGAAAGGUCAGGAAUGAAACAGAGAAUUGGCAGCAUCAUGAAUGGAAUCCACAAUUGCCUGGGAGAUCCAAGGAUUGGCCUAGUCUUGCUCUUAGGAGCAUUGAUGUCUUUUGGUAGCAUCUGGCUGUGAAGGAGCCAGUCAACUCAUCCAAGUCGAUCAAAUAAUCAAACUCAACCGAGCAAAAAAGAUGACGAAGAUAGACCAAAUCGGAGAUGCAAGAAGAGAGCGGUGUCAAAUCAAGAUAGUCCUCCUUCCAUCACUGACAGAGAACCAAAAGAUGCUUACCAGAUGCCACUGUCAGAUUUUGACUACGAGUAAUAUGGUGUUCAAAGGAAUCAAGGUUUGACAUUAAGCAAAUUAAGCACAUGGGGUUCUCGAAGUAAAGAUCAAAGUGUAUCUCCAUUGUGAUUAUACUGAUUUUUGGUCAUAGGUGUAUCAAGUAACUAGCAAAUGGCUGCCCAACAUAUAUACAUAGAUCAUUUAGAAAUUAUACCCCGAAUUUUGGGAACCUGUUUGAAUUGAUAGUUUGUUUUAGUCUCAAUGUGUGACUGAAUCAUAACUUUGGGAUAAUUUUUUAUUUACUUGUUACCUUCAAGAGCUGCAUUACCUUUCUUAUCUGGAAAAGGAAGCACAUAUGUGCUUGUAUCACUAAGUUGUAAAAUUUUAGUGAAAAAUUCUCAUGAAGUUGAUUGAGGAGA